rnacentral:rRNA from 1 species
UACGUAGGGUGCAAGCGUUAAUCGGAAUUACUGGGCGUAAAGCGUGCGCAGGCGGUCUUGCAAGUCAGAUGUGAAAUCCCCGGGCUUAACCUGGGAACUGCAUUUGUGGCUGCAAGGCUGGAGUACGGUAGAGGGGGAUGGAAUUCCGCGUGUAGCAGUGAAAUGCGUAGAUAUGCGGAGGAACACCGAUGGCGAAGGCAGGUCUCUGGGCUGACACUGACGCUCAUGCACGAAAGCGUGGGGAGCAAACAGG